rnacentral:rRNA from 1 species
UACGGAGGGAGCUAGCGUUGUUCGGAUUUAUUGGGCGUAAAGAGCUCGUAGGCGGCUCGUUGCGUCGGCUGUGAAAACCCUCAGCUCAACGUGGGGCCUGCCGUCGAUACGGGCAGACUUGAGUGCGGUAGGGGAGACCGGAAUUCCUGGUGGUAGCGGUGAAAUGCGCAGAUAUCAGGAGGAACACCGGUGGCGAAGGCGGGUCUCUGGGCCGUCACUGACGCUGAGGAGCGAAAGCGUGGGGAGCGAACAGG